AUGAAAUGGUUACGCCACCUUCCACCCAGACCAGAAACCAUCUGCUAUCCCCGAACAGACCUGUUUCUUCUGAGAUCCAAAGCCUGCUGUCCACUUAUUACGAUAACAGUUACUGAAGAAUCAAGGAAACUAAAGCAAGAAAAAAACUGUUUGUACCCAGCUCAACACACCCCAGAGUAUUUUUUUCAUGUUUAUUUGCCAAAUCCAAAAUGCAUACCCAAGUUCUUCAUGACCGAAUACCUUAUUGGCUUAAAACUGUUUGUCAUUAUCACAGAAAUAACCCUAAUACUUCUUUGUUUGAUUCUACAAGCCUGUACUGGCAGUGUAACUCGAUCAUGUGCUGGAUCAGGACUCCCAUUACAUUUGUUGCUGUAUUAAAAACACUCACCUUUAAAAUUGACUUGAACAUUUUUACCUCAGAAUCAGAAAGAGCUUUGUUGCCAGGUAUGUUUACACAUAGACGAGGAAUCGGUUUAAUUUGAAGAAGCUUUAACAGCACAAACAGAUUACAGUGAAAGGACACAGAAAAUAAAAAUAGAAUAAUAGAAAAUAAUAAUAUACAACAAAUAUUUUUUUUAAAGUACACAAUAUACAAAAAUAGUCAGUAGAUGUAAUUUAGUUUACAGGUAUGAUAUGUACAGAUGCAAUGAAAUGUGAAUAAGUAUGUGUGUUAAAUAGAUAAAUGUAUAAAUAGUGUUGUUAUUUCACAUUUAUUGCCAAGUAUGUUGUAAUUUAACCUGAGGGAAGAAACUGAUCUUAUGACUGGCUGUUCUGGUGCUCGGUGUUCUAUAGCACUGAUCAGACCGCAACACUUCAUAGAGGAAGAGGCCUGGAUGUGAGGGGUCCAGAAUGAUUUUGCCAGCCUUUUUACUGACUCUGGAUCAGUACAGGUCUUGGAGAGUGGAGAAGGUUGUACUAGCGAUUCGCUCAGCGGUCCGGACUAUCUGCUGCAAUCUUCAAACUUCCAAACUUGCCACAAGCUAUGGAAAUCCUACCAGACAGGAGUUUGACAGUUUAACCCUUUCGUUUUGUUUUCGUUUGUUUUUCAUUCACAGUAAGUUGUUAUCAUAUCCCCCAAGGCUGUUCAAGAGAAUUGAGCAACCAAUAUUGUCAAAUAUUUGUAUGAUUUAAAAUGAAUUAUCAAAUUAAAAAGUUAUCUUUAAAAUUACAUUUAUUUAAGACAAAUCAAUCACAGUUCCAAAUUAUGAAUAUAACCAUCUAUAAACUUUACCUGGAUUUUUAUUUUCGAUCUGUCAAGAUCAAUGUCAAAUUGUCAGUGAUAGCUAGAAAGGUACACCCUACAGCUUCUUGACUUUGAAUUUGUAUUGCAUAAGAAAUGGAAUGCAUUGAUCAGAGAUUUUCACUGAUGCAGUUCCUUUCUGAGAACAAAGGUUUGAAUAGCAAGCUAAAGUUAUUGACUGAUUUGUCUUAUUGUAUGAUUGUAACCACUUUAGCAUAGACUAAGAAGUUAACGCUCUUUAUAUUAAUAAUUUGGCAAUCCUAUCAAACGUAGUCUUAUUUGUUUAUGUAAUAUGGGGGUGUUGUGAUUCAUUGAUUAAUAAUUUGGCUGGUAAUCCAAAGGUUAUAGGUUCAAAUCCUAGGUGAAGCUACCUGCCACCAUUGUGUCCAUGAACAAGAUGUCAGGUUGCUUCAUUGAGACGUUGUUCCUGGUCUUUUUGAGCAGACUGUAGUUGCAGUAUGAAUCUGUUGUUUCCUUAUGACAAUUAUGUUUUAAUAGUGACAUGAUAAUAAAAUGAACAAUUGGAAAUCCCUGUCACUUCUUGUUUAUGGGUGUGUGUUUGCAUGUGAGCACAUGCUGUGUGUUUGUUUUAUUGCAUACGUGUGCACAGUGUGAACUAACAAAUGUAGACCAAAGCAUUUUUUCAUAUUUAAUUGUAGUCUUGUAUUGAAGUAUCGGGGGUACAUCUUUGCGGGAUAUUCCAGUAGGUUCUUGUGCAACCAGUAAAACAAUAAAAUGUGCAUGUGAUACCUAAUAUAGUUUUAGAAAUUCAGAGGUACUGUUUGUCAAGACUUCAUAUUCGGUACAAAAGAAUGCAAAAUAUAAUACAUACUGUAAAUUAUAUAUAUAUUGGUAUAUUUGUCAUAGAGUUGGAAAGAAUCAUAAUCCUUAAUGUACUUGUUUUAAAGUCACUGUGAGUUUACUUCUAGGAAAUAAAAAAAAAACACAUUGUAAAAAAUGAAUUAUUGAAAAAACAAUAACAGUAUUUAACAGUAAUAUAACAAAAACAUUAUCAACCUUAUAUAACAAUUUUACAUGUUUACAAUAGCCUUGUGGGCAGUGCGCUGACGUUUAGUGUUGCUGCGCUUUGGCCAUCCCGAGUUCAAGUCCCAGCUCGCAGACCCCCCCCCCCACACACACACACACAAACAAACUGAACUUCUUGCCUACAAUACUUUCCUAUCCUAAUAAACUGCAAGAACAAAAAUACAUCUUUUAAAAAAGGUCUAUGCUUUGUUGCAAAAAAAAAAUAUCAGUGCUUCUUCAUAAACUGAGUUAACAAAAAUGUAUCAUUGCUUAUUUGAAGUGUCACAAUUAAAUAGGAUUUACAAAUGAAAAGGCAAACAAAAAGUGUUUUUCCUAAUCUGACCAUUUAAAUCUUUUUAUACAAAAGAUGAAUCAUUGAAAAGCAUCUGUCUUGUCUAAUUUAACAUCUUGACUGGGAGUGGACAGUGCUUUCAUGCUACAGUUGCAUAUCGUUAACAAUUUCUUUUCAGUUCUUUUCAAAAAUCCUUCAGUAAUGCAACUCAAGAGGCUGAUUUGGAAAGAUUGCAACAUUGACUGAGGUGGUCA
ensembl:lncRNA